CCCGGUGAGCAUACCACCCUGAACGCGCCCGAUCUCGUCUGAUCUCCGAAGCUAAGCAGGGUCGGGCCUGGUUAGUACUUGGAUGGGAGUGCACACAUUUUUAAAACAACCCUUAACUUUACCAAUU
ensembl:rRNA 5S_rRNA 5S ribosomal RNA